AGCGAACGCUAGCGGCGGGCCUAACACAUGCAAGUCGAGCGGGGAGCAAUCCCAGCGGCGAACGGGUGAGUAACACGUAGGUAAUGUGCCUUUUGGUGGGGAAUAACCGUGGGAAACCAUGGCUAAUACCGCAUAUCGUGCUUCGGCAUGAAAGCUUCUGAGGCAACUCGGGGGCGCCAGUUGAGCAGCCUGCGUCCCAUUAUUUAGUCCUAGUUGGUAGGGUAAUGGCCUACCAAGGGUACGAUGGGUAGCUGGUCUGAGAGGAUGAUCAGCCACACUGGAACUGAGACACGGUCCAGACUCCUACGGGAGGCAGCAGUGGGGAAUAUUGCGCAAUGGGGGAAACCCUGACGCAGCCACGCCGCGUGAGUGAUGAAGGCC
rnacentral:rRNA from 1 species